UCCACUUGAUGUCCUUUUAUUGUUGUUGACAAUUUCUAUCAAUGUCACCACAGGGGAAAUGAAAUUCUCUCUACAUAGAUACGUUAGUGCGAUCAAUCUUUUCAUCCUCAUUGUAUAUCGCGACUCUCUGAGAAUCGCAAUAUCAAGUUUGGUCGCACCAUUAAGAUCGCGGAGCACUAAACUUAAACUCGUUGUCAUGAUCAUUAUCAAGUUUGUUUGCUGUCUCGUCUUUGUUAGAUUGAAUUAUUUAGUUGUCAUUGUUACAUCAGUGUCAACUUACUCCCUACCUGUAAAUGCCUUCUCUAAUUCGCUUUGUUAAGUUCAUCGAUAUCUUAAAGGGCUCAACUAUUGUAAUUUAUAUUACUCAACUUUCUAAAAUAUAUAUGUUGUUACACCAGUGUCGAAUCCUCUAAAACAUAAGCAUUACUUGUGAAGGUUCCACACAUACAGCCAUCGUGAAAGAUUAGAAAUGACAAUAUACACAAAGAAUUAGAAAUGACAAUAUACACUUUGUAUAAAUUUGCUUAAAAAUAAAGUCACUUGCAAAUCAUGCAACUAAAUAUGACAUGGGGUUUAAUAAUUUACAGUUGUUCAACCAAUUAUUUAAAUCUUUUGGUCUGACGGUGAUAUUUUUCUCUGUUUCAAUUUGUUGGUCUUACUUUCUUUUUUGUCCAUUUCACAAAAUAUGCUUAUUUUGUUUUAGCAAUUUUUUCAUUCUAACUUUUCACGUGACAUGUUUGUGACCAUGAGAUUAAAGAGUAUUUUGAUAUAUUUUACGUAUGAUUAGUUUAGAAUCACAAGAUUUAAAAGUUUUUACUUUCUGAAAUUUCAUGCCAAGUCAAAAUCAGACAAAUAAAUUAAAAUGGAGGGAAUAUUUCUUUAAGGUCUUGGUAUUCCGUUUUAGAUUUAUUUUUUUACCAAGCACUUAAGCUUGUAUAAGUGUUUUGGCAAUUCUCAGUCUUUGGUCUUUGUCUAAACUUUAAUUAUAUUUCCUUUUACUAAAGUCUGUUAAAGUGUUUCUGAAAUUUUUAUAGCCCCUCUUUGCUUUGUCUAAGCUUUAAUAAUACUUUCUUUUACUAAAGUCUAUCUCUAUUCGAAGCUAGCUUGAGUCAGGGGGUUUGAACCUGAAUAAUAUGUAUAAAUUAUAUUAUUUAUACAUAUUGAUUGAAUUUUUUUUUGAUAUAUAAUAAAUGUUGAACCUCUUUUUGAUUAGUUCGUAUAUUCAUUUCUUUAUCUUUUGAAUCCUUUUAAUAAAAAUAGUGACUCUACCACUGCUUUUCUGACCCCUUUUUGUGGGACUAUACUUGACUGAUGUUGUUGUUAACGUCUCUAUUCAUAUUCAUAGUGUUUCUGCAGUUCUU
rnacentral:lncRNA from 1 species